GCCUUCGUGGCCUAACGGAUAAGGCGUCGGCUUCCUAAGCCGAAGAUUGCGGGUUUGAAUCCCGUCGGAGGUA
rnacentral:tRNA from 1 species